rnacentral:rRNA from 1 species
GACGAACGCUGGCGGCAGGCCUACCACAUGCAAGUCGAGCGGAGCGGCGGACGGGUGCGUAAUGCCUAGGAAUCUGCCUGGUAGUGGGGGAUAACGUCCGGAAACGGGCGCUAAUACCGCAUACUCUCAGCUGAGCCUAGGUCGGAUUAGCUAGAUGGUGGGGUAAAGGCCUACCAAGGCGGAGAUCCGUAACUGGUCUGAGAGGAUGAUCAGUCACACUGGAAAUGAGACAAGGUCCAGACUCCUACGCGAGGCAGCAGUGGGGAAUAUUGGACAAUGGGCGAAAGCCUGAGCCAGCCAUGCCGCGUGUGUGAAGAAGGUCUUCGGAUUGUAAAGCACUUUCAGUUGGGAGGCGUUACCAACAGAAUAAGCACCGGCUAACGUCGUGCCAGCAGCCGCGGGAAUAC